UAGGGAAUCUUCGGCAAUGGGGGGAACCCUGACCGAGCAACGCCGCGUGAGUGAAGAAGGUUUUCGGAUCGUAAAGCUCUGUUGUUAAGGAAGAACGAGUGUGAGAAUGGAAAGUUCAUGCUGUGACGGUACUUAACCAGAAAGGGACGGCUAACUACGUGCCAGCAGCCGCGGUAAUACGUAGGUCCCGAGCGUUGUCCGGAUUUAUUGGGCGUAAAGCGAGCGCAGGCGGUUAGAAAAGUCUGAAGUGAAAGGCAGUGGCUCAACCAUUGUAGGCUUUGGAAACUGUUUAACAUGAGUGCAGAAGGGGAGAGUGGAAUUCCAUGUGUAGCGGUGAAAUGCGUAGAUAUAUGGAGGAACACCGGUGGCGAAAGCGGCUCUCUGGUCUGUAACUGACGCUGAGGCUCGAAAGCGUGGGGAGCGAACAGG
rnacentral:rRNA from 2 species